AUGAAUGCCAUGUUAUGGAAUGUUAGAGGCAUUGCUGCUCCUGGUAGAAAACCUUUGAUCUUAGAAACCAUGGCUAAGACUCAUGCUUCAAUUGUUGGUUUCCAAGAGACAAAGAAAGAGGAGUUCUCCAACUCCUAUUUGAAAUCAUUAAUAGGUAAUAGAAACAUCUCCUGGCACCACUUGCCAGCCCAGGGCUCUGCUGGAGGCAUCCUAAUGGGAGUAGAUGUGGACAUUUUUUAAGUUCUUUCUUGGUCUAGCCUUGAGUCAUCUGUUAGCUGUGUCAUGAAACUGAAAAAUGGUGUCACACCAUUUAGGGUGGUUACAGUUUAUGGAUCACCUUAUGAGGAGGGAAAAGAGAAUUUCAUCUCUGAACUUCAUUCCCUGUUUUUGGAAAAUCCCCUCCCCACCCUUAUAAGGGGAGAUUUUAACUUGGUGAGAUAUGCUAAAGAUAAGAGUAAAUGUAAUAUUAACCACAAGUGGAGUGAUAAAUUUAAUGCUUGUAUUGAGAUCUGGAGCCUACUAGAGAUCAAAUUAUCUAGCAGGAAAUUCACCUGGGCUAACAACCAGGUGUAUUUGAUCAUGUCCUCUGUUGAUAGGUUAUUUUGCAAUACUGAGAUGGACAAGAUCUUUCCUCUAGCAGCUUGUAGAGCUUUGCCUUGA
rnacentral:rRNA from 1 species